AUGAGUAUUGUACCAGAACCAAUUGAGGGUUUGAAAAUUUUGUUUGGUAUCGAGUGUUUUCCUUCAAAAACAUGAUAACUAGGUCUUGUUCACAGUCUUGGUACUGAUUCUGACAGUGUCCUAAUGGCUAGUUGUGACUGGCUGAUGUGCCAUGCGGGUGACGAUUAUGUCAACUGCAGAAAUGACAGAUUGCAUCAAGUGCUCUGAACAUCAUAUUGUGAAAUAUCUAGGCUGUUGAUUCUGUAGACUGGAAUGCUUGUGAGACUGUCUUCUGUAUAGCUGUCAAUUCCUAAGAUGACCAUUAGUGUCCACUAUCUAUAGCCCAAAUCUGGAUGCUGUGAACUUGACCCCAGGUUAAUUGUAUGCUCUGAAUAUCAUUUAGGUUCAAGUUCACGUGAAGAGAGUGUGUCGCAAGUUCUGCUCUGAUUAAUCAGGUGGACACUGAACCUGAUCAGUUUUAUAGCAGAUGACUGGAGGUUCCCAUGGAGAUUCAGGAAGGCUGGGAUUGGGACUGUCUGAAUUUGUGUUAACAUCAAGCAAAACAUUGUAUUUCCUUUGUAACUUUAUAAGAAUUCAUGGUGACUGACGUAAUGAAAGCACUUUGCAAAAUAGAACUGUAAUUUGAAAUCUAGCUUUGAGUCUCUAUUGGUUCUACACUAGUCUGUGCAUGUUUUGAUGAAUGUGCAUGUUGGGCAUUAAUUUGAUUUUUAAUGAGAUGGAUAUCUUAAUUGCAUGUUAUGGGAAAUUUUGGUGGACUCUUAUUGAAUGAAAUUUAGCUUAUUUUUAAUUCAUGAAUCAUUUGGAAGUACAUUGUACUUUUAAUAUACAAAAUCUUAAAAUGAGCUUCUAAAUAAUAAGUUGUCCAUUAUAAGUUACAGUCUAUAGAUUAGAUAUAUAUAUAUAUAUAUUUCAUUUACACAGAUAAUAAAUGAUUUAUGCUAGUA